CAGGAAGAUAAUUUCAUCCGGCGCUCUGUUUAAGGUUAAAGCCUGAUUUGCAUUUCAAAAGCGGCGGCUGGCCGCCUCGCCACCUCAGGGACGCCAUCGGGCCGAGUGGCGUGUCAUUUAAUGUCAGCGAGCGCGGCGCCCUGAUGAAAUUAAUAGAGCAGCUGGUGAUUGAUAACGCCGCGCAGCUCGUCAACGCUUCAACUGUCCGCCUCCUCGCUGACACCCGGCGUCCACAAUGACGCUCUGAGAGAUCCCAUCAGCCCCGGCGUUCCGCUCCACCUACAGAUCCUCCUGCUGCUCACGGGAACCAGGUAACCUUCGCCGCCGCCGUCAGCUGGAUCACCUGCUACAGGUGAGAAUGACGGGUCAGAGGUCACAUGACCCAGAGCGGCGAAAACACCCGACUGUCUGCAGGAGACAUCUAGAAUGAAAACCCCUCACUGUCUGCAGGAGACAUCUAGAAGUGUCUAGAUUCUCCGAUGGUUGAAACUCGUUUCUGUUUCAGUUCAUCAGGUUUUAAUUUAAACAUCUUUGUGUUUUUAUUUUUAUGUGGAUCUGUUUGUUUUAGUUCUAUGUUUGGUCUCAGUUUUGGAUCCGUUGCCGCGGUAACAAACAAAAACAGUAAAUCUGACGGACUGAACAGAAAAACUCACAGUCCUCUUUCUGACUCGAUAAAAACAUGAACUCAGAGUCGUCGGGGGGGGGAGGAGUCAGCGGUGGGCAAAGGGGCGGAGCCAUCAGAUCCUGCUAAUGGAGGUCAUCAGGGUCACGGUAAACCCUGAGAGAGAGAGAGAGAGAGAGAGAGAGAGAGAGAGAGAGAGAGAGAGAGAGAGAGAGAGAGAGAGAGAGAGAGAGAGAGAGAGAGAGAGAGGGAGAGAGAGAGAGAGAGAGAGAGAGAGAGAGAGAGAGAGAGAGAGAGAGAGGGAGAGAGAGAGAGAGGGAGAGAGAGAGAGAGCGGCGAGGUCCUGAAUGUUUGUUGUCCCGGGUGUUGGUGAGGAGUGGGUGAGGAGAGGGUGAGGGGGGGGUGAGGAGCUCUGAAAUCCUCCAAACGGGCAGAUCUCUCCGUUUCUCCCGCCUCUUGCGCGGCGGCGUUCCUCCUCCUCCUCCUCCUCCUCCUCCUCCUCCUCCUCCAUGAUGAGGAUAUUUCCUGUAAACCUGCGGAGACAAAAGCGGAGGUGGAUGAGAGGCUGAUUCAUUCGCUCAUUUCCAUCUGCUAUUAUCCGUGUGUACGCCGAGAGCGGCGAGAUAAAGAGCGAGGGAAAAAGAAACGAGUGUUUUAAAAAAAAGGAGGAAAAUAAAGGAGGAGAGGAGGAGGAGGAGGAGGCGCAGAGACGUUUGAAUCAGUUUCAUCCUGAGAAUCGUUUCUGCAGAAGAAGAAAAGCCCGUCUGCUUUUGUGCGUCCGUUUAUUUAUAGACGCCGUUUUUUCCACGGCCGUAAUUGUCCAGGAAAUAUCAAAUUUGCAUAGAGUGAUUAUUGUUGAUUGUUUAUCUCGCCGUCAGGACGCCUCGAUAUUCCCGCGCUGACAGGUUGUCAAGUACUUAAAACUCAUUUAUUUGGGAAAUUUGCAUGUAAUUUGGCGGUAAUGAGGGGGACGUCUGUGGUCACGGAUUAGAGAAGAAGAAGAGGAUUCAGGAUGACUGGCGUUCCUCCACGCUAACGCUACCUUCGCCCGAACAACAGAGGAUUGUGUUCAAACGGUUGGCAUGGCGGCGGCGGCGGCUUAAUAACAGCGGGAGCAGCGGUGAGCCAGCUGAGCGCCGACGAGAGGAAGUGUUUCUGUCGGCCUGCGGGCCGGCGAGUCGGAGAAACGGGAUCAGAGACAGAGAGGCUCGGUUCUGUGGGAGCGGACGCCAACGUGCCAGAGAGCGCCAAAGAGCGGCGGAGAGCGCCAAAGAGCGCCAAAGAGCGUCAAAGAGCGUCAAAGAGCGUCAAAGAGCGCCAAAGGGCGCCAAAGAGCGUCAGAGAGCGCCAAAGAGCGUCAGAGAGCGUCAGAGAGCGUCAAAGAGCGCCAAAGAGCGGCGGAGAGCGCCAAAGAGCGUGAUUCACCUGCAGGAAAAAAGCUCUUCAAGGACACACCUGAAAAAAAAAUAAACCUGACAACAUAAACUAGAUUAAAUAAUCCAGAUUAGAUAAACCAGAUUAAAUAAUCCAGAUUAGAUAAACCAGAUUAAAUAAUCCAGAUUAGAUAAACUAGAUUAAAUAAUCCAGGUUAGAUAAACUAGAUUAGAUAAACUAGAUUAAAUAAUCCAGAUUAGAUAAACUAGAUUAAAUAAACUAGAUUAAACAAUCCAGACUAGAUAAACUAGAUUAAAUAAUCCAGAUUAGAUAAACUAGAUUAAAUAAACUAGAUUAAAUAAUCCAGAUUAGAUAAACUAGAUUAAAUAAUCCAGAUUAGAUAAACUAGAUUAGAUAAACUAGAUUAAAAAAACUAGAUUAAAUAAUCCAGAUUAAAUAAACUAGAUUAGAUAAACUAGAUUAAAUAAACUACAUUAGAUAAUCCUGACAUUAUAAUCCUGAGGCUGCUCAGAGAGGCGGGGACAGUCUUGACGUCUCUGUAAUCUGAUCAUUUCCGUUAAUCUGGAUUAUUUCAGGUUAUCAACAUUUUUUUUUUUACGGUCAAAUCUAAAAAAAGUUGAAAAGUUUUUUUUAUUUUUUUUCCCGCGGCGUGCAGCGUCGGACUUUGAGCUGCCGUUCAAACAGUCGGCGUUUUUUCGGCCCAAGGUCGGCUUCAGAAGAUGAGCGCUCAGCUCGCCGCUCACGGACCGCCGCUGACUCACUGAGUGAGAGAACAGAGCGACUCCUACACCUGAGAGCGAGUCAGUGAGUCACCUGAGCGCCAAGGUUAAACGCUCGCUCUGCCUCCUCUCCAAAAUAGAUCCACCGCUAACCUCUGCAGAAAAACACGCCACUCCGAACGCUGCUGUUAGAGCGCCGCUCUCUACCGCUGUACGACUGAGAGCGUUUACACCCGUGUGUGUGUGUGUGCGUGUGUGUGUGUGUGUGCGUGUGUGUGAGACUCUUUUAAAAGGGUGAGCGAGGAUAAUCGGCCCCGGCGCUCCGGACUAAAAGGCCGGGUCAGAGUUUUAAAGAGAAGCGAUGUAUUUCCCAUCCCGGGUAACGGUGAUGAAGUGGGCCCUUGUGACUCAACCUGAGAGCAUGAAAAGGGCCUCAGAGGGGACCGCCAUCACCGGCCCCUCUCUUUACGGUCCUAACGCCGCCCGAGCGAGCGAGCAGAGAGGAAGGAGAGCGGCGGUGGAGAGCUCUCAGAGCGUGAGCUUCCUGCCGCCUCUCUGAGCCUGAAAGCUCCAAUAAUAAUGUCCUGAACAGAGAGGAGGACGCGCUCGCUCGCUCGCUCGCUCGCCGAGCGCCACAGACACACACCCGAGAGAGAGUGUGUGUGUUAGAGUGUGUGUGUGUUAGAGUGUGUGUGUGUUAGAGUGUGUGUUACACCUGUCUGUGUGUCAGUGAAUCAGGUGUUUGUCUCUCCUGAGGAACGAACGUCUGAAAUAUUUCUGUUUAGAGGAACGUUUACCAAGUCCAGUCCAGGUUUUAUUUAAAAGUCCAGUCCAGGUUCUUGUUUAAAGUCCAGUUCAGGUUCUUGUUUAAAGUCCAGUCCAGGUUUAAUUUAAAAGUCCAGUCCAGGUUUUAUUUAAAAGUCCAGUCCAGGUUUUAUUUCAAAGUCCAGUCCAGGUUUUAUUUUGAAGUCCAGUCCAGGUUUUAUUUUAAAGUCCAGUUCAGGCUUUAUCUUAAAGUCCAGUUCAGGUUUUAUUUUGAAGUCCAGUUCAGGUUUUAUUUUGAAGUCCAGUUCAGGUUUUAUUUUGAAGUCCAGUUCAGGUUUUAUUUUGAAGUCCAGUCCAGGUUUUAUUUUAAAGUCCAGUCCAGGUUCUUGUUUAAAGUCCAGUCCAGGUUCUUGUUUAAAGUCCAGUUCAGGUUUUAUUUUGAAGUCCAGUCCAGGUUCUUGUUUAAAGUCCAGUUCAGGUUUUAUUUUGAAGUCCAGUCCAGGUUCUUGUUUAAAGUCCAGUUCAGGUUCUUGUUUAAAGUCCAGUUCAGGUUCUUGUUUAAAGUCCAGUUCAGGUUUUAUUUAAAAGUCCAGUCCAGGUUCUUGUUUAAAGUCCAGUUCAGGUUUUAUUUUGAAGUCCAGUUCAGGUUUUAUUUUAAAGUCCAGUUCAGGUUUUAUUUCAAAGUCCAGUUCAGGUUCUUGUUUAAAGUCCAGUCCAGGUUUUAUUUUAAAGUCCAGUUCAGGUUUUAUUUUGAAGUCCAGUUCAGGUUCUUGUUAAAAGUCCAGUUCAGGUUCUUGUUUAAAGUCCAGUUCAGGUUUUAUUUUAAAGUCCAGUCCAGGUUCUUGUUUAAAGUCCAGUUCAGGUUCUUGUUUAAAGUCCAGUUCAGGUUUUAUUUUGAAGUCCAGUCCAGGUUCUUGUUUAAAGUCCAGUUCAGGUUCUUGUUUAAAGUCCAGUCCAGGUUCUUGUUUAAAGUCCAGUCCAGGUUUUGUUUUCUUCGUGUUCUUGUGUUUUUUUUCCCUGGAUGUUUUUUUUCAUGUUUUUUUCUUCUUCAUUUUUCGGUUUCUCUCCGAUUUUCUCGCUCAGCUGAUCGGCGUUUUUCUUUCUUCAUAUUUCACUUUUUUAAACGGCGUUCUGACUCAGACACUCUGCGGCGUGGAGGAGGUUCUGACUCGGUUUUCAGCGAGGAGGUCACACUGUUCGGUUUUACUGGUUCUGAUGAAUCUCUCCGAUCAGAACCGGUUCCUUCGUCUCUCAGAGUUCCUGUCGGUGUCAGACCCGGUUCAGCAGGUGUCUCUGAACUUUUUAAAUCCAGGUUCAAACACCUGAGCUCCUCCGUCAGGACUCAAACAUGACGGCGGCGGCGGCGGUGGCGUUCACAUCUUCAUCUGGUUGUCACUCAGCUCCUCGUCCCGUAAACACGCUCGGGCUCGCCGCGAUCUCGGGGGACAGAGUCGGUAAAUGUUGUUGCGAGUCCGCCUGGGCCGUUGUCAGCAUUACGGCGUUAUUAAUUCUUGAGUGCGUGCGGCGUGUUGACAGCAGAGACGGCGAGAUGUGACACGCUGACACGGUGACGGGCUGACAGAGAGGACAGCUCGCAGUCUGACGCUCUAUAAAUAAGUGGUUUGGAUGGGAUCUAGAAAGACUCGGCGCCCCAUCAGGUUCUUCUAUCUUCACUGUCUCUUCCUCUUUUUUUUGACUCCCCCCCCGCCGCCGCCGCCGCCGCCGCCCCCCCUCCUGGAUGGAUGCCUGAGUUGGCGGGGGCAGAAAUAAACCGCAGUAAUGGCUCUGCUUUGCUGCUAAUCUUGUCAUAAGAAGGUGCGGCCCUGCGAGGAUCGCUCCGCCGUGUGAUAUCCUCAUUUAAACAUCAAACGCCUCCAUCAUUAGGAAGCCGGCGCCGCCGAGCCCCACUUUUCAAGGGAAAUUAUUACAUCUCGCCGCCGCACAAGUGUAAUGCAGGAAGACGUUUCCUGUCAAGCAGAGGCGCAGAAAACCCUCACUGGACUUGAUGUUUGCUCACUUGAAGGAAAACAUCAUCAUUAGCGGCGUUCUCCGCUGAUAGACGCAGCCCUGACUCGGGGUGUCGCCGGCCCGCCGCGGGCUCUGAUGAUCGCCUUCAUUUGGACUCGCCGCUCGUGUUUGAGAUCUGAGAUUUGAGGACGGAUCUGCUAAGUGGAUCCGGCCCUCCUCCUCCUGACAGCUCCUCUGGAGGGUCUGGUGGCGCCGCAGAGAGUCUGACGUGUGUGAGAACGGCGCUCUAACACGCCGGAUUCAGACCGUCACACGGGACUGACAGGUGCAGAUCCAGGCUGACGAGCCGAGCACAGAGACUGACCUCUAAUGACCUGGACCUGACCCUGAUCCUGAGUCCACUCCAGCGUCGGUGGUUUCAGAGUCCGGUCCAGGUUUUGUCUCCAGACUCACCGUGUAAACAUGCAGCCGAGAAAACGUGAACGUGUCCUCCUCCCCAACACUAGGGGGCGAUAUGGGUCUUUUCAGACAACCGUCAACAACAACAGCAGGUCGGUGUCAGACGUCAGAAGUGUCUACAACUGCUGCUGGGCAUUUUGGAGAAACAAGAAGAUGGAGCAUCGUACAGCGUUGUUUUUGUCCGACAUGAUGGACGCGCUACUUUUUCUAAAGAGGAGACCAACGCUACUCCUCUACUCUGGGGGUUUGUUACGGGGUUAUGGGGGCGUGGCCUCAUACUCCGACUACGCUGGUUACAUGGUAGAGAAAAUCUAAUUCCAAUCUCAUUAUCUGGGUGUUUUAAUCGGAGUUCUUAAACUCUGAUUAUAGUCGGACUAAAGUGUUUACAUGACCUUCAGCUAUCCGGUCUUUAUCGGAAUAAGGCGAUAAUUCGGUUUUCUCGAGUGUCAUGGAAACGGACUGAGUGAUGAUAGAGUCGGACAAAAAACGGGUCAGCGAUAGAACUCCUGAAAGUUCUGGUUCUGGUUCUGGUUCUGGGAUCUGAAGGUGACGGCUCAGUCUGUGUUUUUCCCGCUAUAAUUUAUUCAUGUUCCGGGGUUCUUCUUCUUCUUCUUCUUCUUCUUCUUCUUCUUCUUCUCCUCCAGUGUUCGGCGUUUGAGGACGAAACUUUGAACUGAGAACAAAGACGUGGAGAUCUGGGUCACAAACACACAAACACACACACACACACAAACACACACACACACACACAAACACACACAAACACACAAACACACACACACACACACUUCUCCGUACUCUGUGUGUGUGUGUGUGUGUGUGUGUGUGUGUGUGUGUGUGUGUGUGUGUGUGUUUGUGUGUGUGUUGUGUUCGGUUGUGUGUGUGUUGUGUUGUUGUUGUGUGUGUGUGUGUGUGUGUGUGUGUGUGUGUGUGUGUGUGUGUGUGUGUGUGUGUGUGUGUUGUUGUGUGUGUGUGUGUGUGUGUCGUCUCCUCUCUCUCCUCCACGUUUGUCCUUAAAGUGAGAAACAGCGGGGCGGCGCCAUGAUCUGAGGGAGUCAGGGUGGCGUGGGGGGCGGAGCUAAAUAAUCGAUGAUUUUCAUCUGAUUGGAAAAAUAGAAACAGAGAGACGAUAAACCGAUCAGUCCAUCAAUUAAUCGAUCAAUAAUCAAUCAAUCCUUCACCAGACGGUGAGCUAAUGCCGUCUCCUCCUUCAUGACCUCCACAUUCACAUGCGGAGCUCUCUGAUUGGUCCGUUUCUCUCUGUUUUAGGAGCUGAAGAAUCCACCGCCGUUUUCUGACGGCGUUUUCAAAGAUUAUAAACGUGGACAGAGCGGGAGAGAGGGACCAGGAACCAGGAACCAGGAACCAGGGACCAGGAACUAAGGACCAGGAACCAGGAACCAGGAACCAGGAACCAGGGACCAGGAACUAGG
rnacentral:lncRNA from 1 species